GGCUGAAAUUCGCCUUCAUGAAGCUGGAAUUGCUAGUAAUGGCAGGUCAGCAUACUGCCGUGAAUACGUUCCCGGGCCCUUGUACACACCGCCCGUCACACCAUGAGAGUUGGGAAUACCCGAAGCCUGUGAGCUAACUUAUAGAGGCAGCAGUCGAAGGUAGAAUCAAUGAUUGGGGUGAAGUCGUAACAAGGUAGC
rnacentral:rRNA from 1 species